AGAGUUUGAUCCUGGCUCAGGAUGAACGCUAGCGAUAGGCUUAACACAUGCAAGUCGAGGGGCAUCACGAGGUAGCAAUACUUUGGUGGCGACCGGCGUACGGGUGCGUAACACGUAUGCAACCUUCCUGUAAGUGUGGGAUAGCCUCCUGAAAGGGAGAUUAAUACCUCAUGAUAUGUAUUUGCUGCAUGGCAUUUACAUUAAACAUUUAUGGCUUACAGAUGGGCAUGCGUUCCAUUAGGCAGUUGGUGUGGUAACGGCUCACCAAACCUACGAUGGAUAGGGGUUCUGAGAGGAAGGUCCCCCACACUGGAACUGAGACACGGUCCAGACUCCUACGGGAGGCAGCAGUGAGGAAUAUUGGUCAAUGGGCGCAAGCCUGAACCAGCCAUGUCGCGUGCAGGAAGACUGCCCUAUGGGUUGUAAACUGCUUUUAUAGUAGAAGAAACACAUCUACGUGUAGAUGUCUGCCAGUAUACUAUGAAUAAGCAUCGGCUAACUCCGUGCCAGCAGCCGCGGUAAUACGGAGGAUGCGAGCGUUAUCCGGAUUUAUUGGGUUUAAAGGGUGCGUAGGCGGGAUAUUAAGUCAGCGGUGAAAGUUUUCGGCUCAACCUUAAAAUUGCCGUUGAAACUGUUAUUCUUGAGUGCAGUAGAGGUAGGCGGAAUUCGUUGUGUAGCGGUGAAAUGCGUAGAUAUAACGAGGAACUCCGAUUGCGUAGGCAGCUUACUAUAUUGCUACUGACGCUGAGGCACGAAAGUGUGGGUAUCAAACAGGAUUAGAUACCCUGGUAGUCCACACAGUAAACGAUGAAUACUCGCUGUUUGCGAUAUACAGUCAGCGGCCAAGCGAAAGCAUUAAGUAUUCCACCUGGGGAGUACGCCGGCAACGGUGAAACUCAAAGGAAUUGACGGGGGCCCG
rnacentral:rRNA from 1 species